UUACUAGCGAUUCCGACUUCACGGAGUCGAGUUGCAGACUGCGAUCCGGACUACGACCAACUUUAUGGGAUUAGCUCCCUCUCGCGAGGUGGCAACCCUUUGUAUCGACCAUUGUAGCACGUGUGUAGCCCAGGCCGUAAGGGCCAUGAUGACUUGACGUCAUCCCCACCUUCCUCCGGUUUGUCACCGGCAGUCUCCUUAGAGUGCCCAACA
rnacentral:rRNA from 1 species